UAAGGUGGUUAUUGCGUCGGGGCUCACCUCUUCCCAUUCCGAACAGAGAAGUUAAGCCCGAUUGCGCAGAUGGUACUGCAGUUGUGUGGGAGAGUAUGUCGCCGCCUUUC
rnacentral:rRNA from 1 species